rnacentral:snRNA from 1 species
GAAUCCUUUGCAGACGACU